CUAGAAUCUUAAUUCAACGAAAUAAAAGGUUCCAAAAGAUUACGUUGUUCGCCCUAAUUUUGAUUUAGUUACGCAUAAUAAUGAAAGAAAAACACAAGUUUAUUAGGAAAUUCAUCACCGGGUCAAUUGACGGAACGAAAUAAUUUGCAAGGCUGAAUCUGCCGUCUUUUGCCGUGUCUGCUUCUUUUCAAUUUAAGCCCCUUGUCUUGUGUGUGUGAUUAGCAGCCGCCAAUUUUAUUAAUUGAAGAAGUCAAGUUGAAGCCACCGUUUCUAUAUCAGUUUUUGUGUAUAUUCUGCUUUGGUUUUCUCUUUUAUUCAACCCAAAGGCAGUCUCAAUUUUUUACUUUAAUCAACCCCAAAGCUGCUGCCAAUUAAUUCCUAGACAAACUCCCAGCUACUGCCCUCAAAAUAUGUGCGUAAAUAAGAAUAAUGAUGCAGCAACCAGCAGCUUUCAAUUCCUCUUCUCUCUCGAUUUUCUGUACGUGUCGGAGCCGUAAUGUGUGACUCCAAAGUGGAGUCCAAUCUCUCCCUAACCGGCUCUAAUUUCAGUGUUUAUAUAGAUUAAUUUCAGCACCAAAGUGUGUGUAAUAAGGUAGAUUAUUGGCUGCCUCAAUUAAUUCUUUUUCCCAGCUUUCACGUGUGGUUUUAUAAUAUAUUAAUGGCAG
rnacentral:lncRNA from 1 species